rfam:Papio anubis isolate 1X1155 chromosome 7, whole genome shotgun sequence.
GCCGGGUGUAGUGGUGUGCACCUGUAAUCCCAACUACUUGGGAGGCUGAGGCAGGAGAAUUGCUUGAACCUGGGAGGAGGAGGUUGCAGUAAGCUGAGAUCACGCCACUGCACUCCAGCCUGGGUGACACAGCGAGACUCUGCCUCAA